UGGGGAAUUGUUCGCAAUGGGCGCAAGCCUGACGACGCAACGCCGCGUGGAGGAUGAAGGUCUUCGGAUUGUAAACUCCUGUUGAUCGGGACGAACAUCCACCGGGAUAACACCCUGGAGGACUGACGGUACCGAUUGAGGAAGCCCCGGCUAACUCUGUGCCAGCAGCCGCGGUAAUACAGAGGGGGCAAGCGUUGUUCGGAAUUACUGGGCGUAAAGGGCGCGUAGGCGGCCGCCUAAGUCAGACGUGAAAUCCCUCGGCUCAACCGGGGAACUGCGUCUGAUACUGGGUGGCUUGAAUCCGGGAGAGGGAUGCGGAAUUCCAGGUGUAGCGGUGAAAUGCGUAGAUAUCUGGAGGAACACCGGUGGCGAAGGCGGCAUCCUGGACCGGCAUUGACGCUGAGGCGCGAAAGCCAGGGGAGCAAACGGGAUUAGAUACCCCGGUAGUCCUGGCCCUAAACGAUGAGUGCUUGGUGUGGCGGGUAUCGAUCCCUGCCGUGCCGAAG
rnacentral:rRNA from 1 species